CUCGGCAGAAGCUUCACAGCUUUCUCUAAUCUCGAAAAGGAAAAGUAUAUAUAUAUAUAUGUAUACAUGUGUGUGAGAUGGAAAGAGCACACG